rnacentral:rRNA from 1 species
AGUGAACGCUGGCGGUAGGCCUAACACAUGCAAGUCGAACGGCAGCACAGGAGAGCUUGCUCUCUGGGUGGCGAGUGGCGGACGGGUGAGGAAUACAUCGGAAUCUACUUUUUCGUGGGGGAUAACGUAGGGAAACUUACGCUAAUACCGCAUACGACCUACGGGUGAAAGCAGGGGACCUUCGGGCCUUGCGCGAUUGACUGAGCCGAUGUCGGAUUAGCUAGUUGGCGGGGUAAAGGCCCACCAAGGCGACGAACCGUAGCUGGUCUGAGAGGAUGUUCAGCCACACUGGAACUGAGACACGGUCCAGACUCCUACGGGAGGCAGCAGUGGGGAAUAUUGGACAAUGGGCGCAAGCCUGACCCAGCCAUACCGCGUGGGCGAAGAAGGCCUUCGGGUUGUAAAGCCCUUUUGUUGGGAAAGAAAUCCAGCUGGCUAAUACCCGGUUGGGAUGACGGUACCCAAAGAAUAAGCACCGGCUAACUUCGUGCCAGCCGCCGCAGUAA